rnacentral:rRNA from 1 species
UACGUAGGGAUCGAGCGUUGUCCGGAUUCAUUGGGCGUAAAGAGCUCGUAGGCGGCUGCUCAAGUCGAAUGUGAAAACUCGAGGCUCAACCUCGAGCCUGCAUUCGAUACUGGGCGGCUAGAGUCUGGUAGGGGGAUCUGGAAUUCCUGGUGUAGCGGUGAAAUGCGCAGAUAUCAGGAGGAACACCGAUGGCGAAGGCAGGUCUCUGGGCCACUACUGACGCUGAGAAGCGAAAGCAUGGGGAGCGAACAGG